UGAGUAACGCUUAGGAAUCUGCCCAUGUAGUGGGGGACAACUCGGGGAAACUCGAGCUAAUACCGCAUACGCCCUACGGGGGAAAGCGGGGGAUCUUCGGACCUCGCGCUAUUGGAUGAGCCUAAGUCGGAUUAGCUUGUUGGUGAGGUAAAGGCUCACCAAGGCGACGAUCCGUAGCUGGUCUGAGAGGACGAUCAGCCACACUGGGACUGAGACACGGCCCAGACUCCUACGGGAGGCAGCAGUGGGGAAUAUUGGACAAUGGGGGCAACCCUGAUCCAGCAAUGCCGCGUGUGUGAAGAAGGCCUGCGGGUUGUAAAGCACUUUCAAUUGGGAAGAAAAGCAGUCGGUUAAUACCCGGCUGUCUUGACGUUACCUUUACAAGAAGCACCGGCUAACUCCGUGCCAGCAGCCGCGGUAAUACGGAGGGUGCGAGCGUUAAUCGGAAUUACUGGGCGUAAAGCGCGCGUAGGCGGUUGUGUAAGUCGGAUGUGAAAGCCCAGGGCUUAACCUUGGAAUUGCAUUCGAAACUGCACAGCUAGAGUAUGGGAGAGGGAAGCGGAAUUUCCGGUGUAGCGGUGAAAUGCGUAGAUAUCGGAAGGAACAUCAGUGGCGAAGGCGGCUUCCUGGACCAAUACUGACGCUGAGGUGCGAAAGCGUGGGUAGCGAACAGGAUUAGAUACCCUGGUAGUCCACGCCGUAAACGAUGACAACUAGAUGUUGGGAGGAUUUGCCUCUCGGUGUCGCAGUUAACGCGUUAAGUUGUCCGCCUGGGGAGUACGCCGGCAACGGUAAAACUCAAAGGAAUUGACGGGGACCCGCACAAGCGGUGGAGCAUGUGGUUUAAUUCGAUGCAACGCGAAGAACCUUACCUGGCCUUGACAUCCUCGGAACUUGUCAGAGAUGACUUGGUGCCUUCGGGAACCGAGUGACAGGUGCUGCAUGGCUGUCGUCAGCUCGUGUCGUGAGAUGUUGGGUUAAGUCCCGCAACGAGCGCAACCCUUGUCCAUAGUGGCCAGCACUUCUGGUGGGAACUCUAGGGAGACCGCCGGUGACGAACCGGAGGAAGGUGGGGAUGAGGUCAAGUCAUCAUGGUCCUUAUGACCAGGGGUACACAUGUGUUACAAUGGACAGUACAGAGGGUUGCC
rnacentral:rRNA from 1 species